rnacentral:rRNA from 1 species
UUCCGGUUGAUCCUGCCGCCGGCCACCGCUAUCAAGUUCCGACUAAGCCAUGCGAGUCAAGGUAUCGUAAGAUGCCGGCAAACUGCUCAGUAACACGUGGAUAAUCUAACCUUGAGUAAGGGAUAACCUCGGGAAACUGAGGAUAAUACCUUAUAAUUGCUUAAAACUGGAAUGUUUAAGCAAUAAAAGUUCCGACGCUCAAGGAUGAGUCUGCGACCUAUCAGGUAGUAGGUGGUGUAAUGGACCACCUAGCCUCAGACGGGUACGGGCCCUGGGAGGGGUAGCCCGGAGAUGGACUCUGAGACAUCAGUCCAGGCCCUACGGGGCGCAGCAGGCGCGAACACUGUGCAAUGCGCGAAAGCGCGACACGGGGAGCUUGAGUGUCUUGGCAUAGCCAAGACUUUUCUCAUUCCUAAAUAGCAUGAGGAAUAAGUGCUGGGUAAGACGGGUGCCAGCCGCCGCGGUAACACCCGCAGCACAAGUGGUGGUCACUUUUAUUGAGCCUAAAGCGUUCGUAGCCGGUUUUGUAAAUCUUUAGAUAAAGCCUGAAGCUUAACUCCAGAAAGUCUGAAGAGACUGCAAGACUUGAGAUCGGGUGAGGUUAAACGUACUUUCAGGGUAGGGGUAAAAUCCUGUAAUCCCGGAAGGACGACCAGUGGCGAAAGCGUUUAACUAGAACGAAUCUGACGGUAAGGAACGAAGGCUAGGGUAGCAAACCGGAUUAGAUACCCGGGUAGUCCUAGCUGUAAACACUGCCCAUUUGAUGUUGCUUUUCCGUUGAGGGAAGGCAGUGUCGGAGCGAAGGUGUUAAAUGGGCCGCUUGGGAAGUAUGGUCGCAAGACUGAAACUUAAAGGAAUUGGCGGGGGAGCACCGCAACGGGAGGAAUGUGCGGUUUAAUUGGAUUCAACGCCGGAA